ACGGGAGGCAGCAGUGAGGAAUAUUGGUCAAUGGACGGAAGUCUGAACCAGCCAAGUCGCGUGCGGGAGGAAGGCCCUACGGGUCGUAAACCGCUUUUGUACGGGGAUAAAGUCACCCACGUGUGGGUGUUUGUAGGUACCGUAAGAAUAAGGAUCGGCUAACUCCGUGCCAGCAGCCGCGGUAAUACGGAGGAUCCGAGCGUUAUCCGGAUUUAUUGGGUUUAAAGGGUGCGCAGGCGGGACAUUAAGUCGGCGGUGAAAUACCGUGGCCCAACCACGGGGCUGCUGUCGAUACUGAUGACCUAGAGUGCGUGUGACGUAGGCGGAAUGUGACGUGUAGCGGUGAAAUGCUUAGAUAUGUCACAGAACACCGAUUGCGAAGGCAGCCUACGAAUGCGUAACUGACGCUCAUGCACGAAAGCGCGGGUAGCGAACAGGAUUAGAUACCCUGGUA
rnacentral:rRNA from 1 species